UACGGAGGGUGCGAGCGUUGUCCGGAAUCACUGGGCGUAAAGGGCGCGUAGGUGGCACGGGUAGUCGUCGGUGAAAGCUCAGGGCUCAACCCUGAGUCGGCCGGUGAUACUCCCGAGCUCGAGUGUGGUAGAGGCCAAUGGAAUUCCGGGUGUAGCGGUGGAAUGCGUAGAGAUCGGGAGGAACACCUGUGGCGAAAGCGGCUCACUGGACUAUACUGACGCUGAGGCACGAAAGCUAGGGGAGCAAACAGG
rnacentral:rRNA from 1 species